UUUCCUCCUUCCUAUUUUUUUUCCUGUUCUUUCUUCAUACCCAUGCCACUCUCCCAUCUCAACAAUAGCGCAACUAUCAGUCCGGUGAUGCCACCAAUCGACAUUGUCUCUCUCUCUCUCUCUCUCCAUUUUUUUUCUCUCUCACUCUCACCUUCCCAUCUUCACCAUGCCAUCUCUCAUUGUCACCGUUGGCUGCGCCAACCACAGUCGGUUGCGCCAACCAUAGUCGGCUGCACACCAUUUCCAUGAUCCCACUAUAGCGACCCCUUCUGCCACCAUUCUCAUCGCCCACAGUCGACAACCACUUGUUGCCACCCAUAUUAGCUCCACCACACCUUCUCUUCAUGUGCCACCUAUGGUCGUCAUUACCUAUUCAGACGAUGGGUUUGUGGAGAGGGAGUCUCCUUCUCGGCAGUGACAACGCAACGAUCAACACGAGAGGUGAUUUUCUUGCUACCCAAAUAGUCUGAUUUAUCUGCAACGUUUCUUCCAUUUUUGACUUUCAAACAUCUAAGUCCCUUCCUGUUUCCCCACCUUAACAAAAAGUCUGGUUCCGAACCUCUACACCGUUUCUGAUUCUUCAUUUCCUUAUCCAUUUCUAUAUCUCUGCAACAAAAACGACACCACAUUAACAACACCCAUCUCGAUUUUCUUGAGAAAAUGCUAGAAAAUAUUAGGGUAAAAAAAAUACUACAAACUCUAAGAAAACGAUCUUCCAAUCACCUCAAGAUCAAAGAAAAUCCUUCAAAAAUAUCUAUAAUUACUAUGCAUUUCAACAAAUAAACAAUGACCCAUCAGCGAAAUCUCAAACAAAAAUCAGUGAAUAAAGCUCAUAUUAGGUUUCAAAAUUUUAUUUUUUUAAGUUAACUCAUACAAAUUUAGACAUUAGGAAAGAAGAAAAUUAAUUAUGGUAAAUUGAAAUUAUAAAAGUUAUAAAUAUAUUCCAUAAAUUGAUUCUCAUAAAGUUAACUGAUAAAAUAAGAACUUAAAUUUUGGUGUGAUAAGAUUAAUGUUGGUGAAAUCUAAACCGUUUAUUUUUUAAUCUCAUCUCUACUAUUCAUUUCAAAGAACCCUAAGAGAUCACAUUUUUCUCACCCACUUCUCUGCCACCGCCACUCUCCAUUCUUUCUCUGUUUUUAUUUCCUCCUUCCUAUUUUUUUUCCCGUUCUUUCUCCAUACCCAUGCCACUCUCCCAUCUCAACAAUAGCGCAACUAUCAGUUCGGUGAUGCCACCAAUCGACGUUGUCUCUCUCUCUCUCUCUCUCUCCAUUUUUUUUCCUCUCUCAUUCUCACCUUCCCAUUUUCACCAUGCCAUCCCUCAUCAUCACCGUUGGCUGCGCCAACCACAGUCGGCUGCACACCAUUUCCAUGAUCCCACUACAGCAACCCCUUCUGCCACCAUUCUCAUUGCCCACAGUUGACAACCACUUGUUGCCACCCAUAUUAGCUCCACCACACCUUCUCUUCAUGCGCCACCUAUGGUCGUCAUUACCUAUUUAGACAAUGGGUUUGUGGAGAGGGAGUCUCCUUCUCGGCAGUGACAACGCAACGAUCAACACGAGAGGUGAUUUUCUUGCUACCCAAACAGUCUAAUUUAUCUGCAACGUUUCUUCCAUUUUUGACUUUCAAACAUCUAAGUCUCUUCCUGUUCCCCCAUCUCAACAGAAAGUCUGGUUCUGAACCUCUACACCCUUUCUGAUUCUUCAUUUCCUUAUCCAUUUCUAUAUCUCUACAACAAAAACGACACCACAUCAACAACACCCAUCUCGAUUUUCUUGAGAAAACGCUAGAAAAUAUUAGGGUAAAAAAAAUACUACAAACUCUAAGAAAACGGUCUUCCAAUCACCUCAAGAUCAAAGAAAAUCCUUCAAAAAUGUCUAUAAUUACUCUGCAUUUCAACAAAUAAACAAUGACCCAUCAGCGAAAUCUCAAACAAAAAUCAAUGAAUAAAGCUCCAAAGAUUAGAAAAAGAACUACAAGGAGAAGAGUCCAUUACAUAGUAGCAAAAAUGUAGAAAAAUAAGCAAAUUUUCUGGAAAAAAAAAUACCCAUUUUCCCUAGAAAAUAAGACAACCUCAGAUCAGUUUUUCCAACUUUUUGCCUCUGCAAGAUGUGUUUGGACACCAAGAAAAAAGAUAAAAAAAAACGACACUCUUGUUUUAUCUUCUCCAAGGCCUCUCACCCAAAAUCCUUCCCUCUUCUUGUUCAGCCUAUUUUUCUUACUCUUUUAUUUGUAUUGAAUUGAAUAUUGGAUGUAAAAUAAAUAAAAAAAAUUAUAAUUGUUUAAAAAACUGAUGACCGUCAGAUGUGAAAUGGAAGGUCAGAUAAGGUUCCUCCUAUGUAGCUCAGUGGGUUAAAGGCCCAAGGGUUUUGGCUAUAUUCCUAUUUGGGUGGUGUUAAGACACUGAGGUUAGAGUGAGACUAACCAUUUCCCCACUUUCUCUCUCUUAUUCUCAAAUCUAUUAUGGAUUUUCUUCAAUUGAAUCAAUCCACAUCACCCCAUUUUUAUCCCCUGUGACAAAAAUGAGAAUCAUAGAUGCAUUAUCUAUUAUGAUUGAUUAGGGUUUUGUAAUUGUGUUGUUUGACAUUUGGCAACAUUGGUGACAAUCUUCACUCUCUUCAUGAAAAAUUUAGAGGGAUUUGGUCUAUAUGCAAGUAGGCAUGAACAUAAAUGUAAUGAUAUAUGUGGAAAUUGUAUCAAAUUUCUAACGGGUAUGUAUUUCCUUUUAUGAACAUAAAUUACCAUUGCACCUCACCACACUGCCACCAACUCUGUAUUUGCUUGUGGAAAAAUAAUAGGAAAAAAGAACUAUUAAAGUGAAAACUUUGAAUAUCCUAUUUUGAAAGUUUGAUUUUUUUUUUAAAUUUGUUAUUUUCUAGGAUUUCGCAAUGAUCAGGCAUAUGAUAAUUUGUUUUCAGAAUUUGAAGGUUCAAUUAUCAUUUCUAUGAGGAAUUAAUUCAAUAAACUAUGGGUUGUUCAUGUAAUCGUGUGUCAUGUUUUAUUGUUGUAAAAAUUAUUGCAAUUAAGAUAAUUGGUGAAUUUUACUCUAUUAUCUGAUUCUCUGCCAUCUUCACUUUUUCUUUUCCUUUUUUUACUCUCUUUGAUUAUAGAAAAAUAAGGAAGAUAACAAAAAAAAAAGGCAUAUUGGAAUAUCUUAUUUUAGAUUUUUUUUUUCCCAUUCUUUUCUAACAUUUUAUAAGUGUUUCUUUGGUUCGCAAUUUUGAAGCUUGGAAUUCAUGUUCAAUUUCAUUUGUAUGUUUCGAAUUGAGUUUAUAAGCAUCAAUGGUUAAUGCAAUUAUGUGUCUCAAUUUUAAUGCCCCAAAAAUAAUCUGAUAUCUAAUGAUUUUUUUUUUAAACUUUUGUUUUCGUUUUAUGCUAGUAAAGGCUGAUGUUUUGUUUUCUUUAAACUGAUUUCUUUGUUGAUCCAUAGUAUUUGGAUGUGUUAAUUGAAAUAAUUAUGAGUAGAUUACCUUUAAAUUUUAUCUCUACUAUUUCCUUUGCAGUUGUAUAGCGAUACCAUUGGACUUUUAAUGCAAUAUGAAGAAACAAAACUGUAUAUUUGGGCACACAAAAACAAUUUGCAUAAUGUGACAUGGUUUUCUCUUUAAUAUGGUUAACUAUUUAAUUUUACUUAUUUAUGCACUUGAAUUUUUACUUGGGCUCCUUUGGUUUGGUUCUUUCUCUUUGUUUUUUUCUUUUUUUAGGGCUAAAUUUUAAUGUUUUGAUUCAUGAUUGUUUGAAACUCUUUCUUUUGUUAAAUGUUGAUAUGGUAUUUGAUUGACAAGCAAUAAAUCAACCCUCACAAAAUUUUAAUUCUUCGAUUCAUAGUCACAAGCCAACUAAAAUUGUUUAUGUAGUCCUUAAUUACCACUGUAAUGGUAUGAAGUAUUUUCUUGUUGCUUAAAUGGGGUCUUCAAUUAAUUAAUGCCAUGAUUUUUUUUUUGUUUUAAUGAGCACAAUUACAUUAGGAUGAACAUUAUAUUGGGUGUCAAUGCAACUCUUAUAUUUUGUUAUUAGUUGCUUUAUUAGUUUUAGCUCAGAUUAAGAGUUCUUUAAUAAUUGAUAAUUGGGUGCUUUGUCGGCUUUAAUUGUUGUUAAGUUUUGAAUUUGAUGAACUCAUGCAUUAGCUGCCUAUGAGAGGAACAUCUAGACAACAUUUUCAUACUCAUACGUAGUUGUCUAUCUAUGGAAUAUUUGACAUUGUAUUUUAACAAGGCAUGAUAGAUAUAAAUAAUAUAAUUUGAUAUUUGUCAUUCUUAGUUUACAUAGCUUUAAAUGGCAAUCUACACAUUAUUUCUAUGAACCUUAUAGAUGUAUUCUGACACAACUUUGUGUCAAAUAUGUUUUCAAUUUCACAUUAGUUGGAAAAGAAUAGCAGCAUAUUGCAUAACUUUUUCCCAUUUAUGAAAUGUGCUUGAUUUUCUCUUUAAUUUUGGAGAUUUUCCAUUUCUUAGACCUUUUUUUUAUUUAAUUAAUUUAUUUCUUUUAAAAAUUUACAGAUUAAUUUCUCAACUAGAUAGCUUGUGCAUUUAUUAGUUCUUGAAAUAAAGACAAAAUUUGCACACAUAAGAUCUAUUAUCCUAUUAGAAUUGAAGGAAAAUAUCCUUGAUUUUUAUUUUGUUAAGUUUAGAUGCAUUUGGUGCUUGAAAUUAAUAGUUAGUAUGGUUUCUACGAAUUUGAAUUUAGAUAUUUCAUUAUUUAUGAUUGAGAUGAUUAAAAUUUAUGCUCAAUUUUAAUUUUGACGAUUUCUUAGAUAAUGUGAGUUUUUAUCUAUUUAGAAGCCAAAAUAAGAUGAAAGAUAUAUUUGAAACUUUUGUUUUCUCUUUUCCUUUUUGCAUUCCUUUUAGAAAUUAAAAAGAAGUAUACUUUUUAUAGUUAUUUAGGUCCAUAAUAUAAAAACACAAUAAUUAAACUUAGAAUUCAAUCUUAAAAAUAUUUCAUUGUAGUUAGAUAUCUAAUUUCUCAAUUUGAACUUUUCUUUUUGUUAACAUCAUUUGUUUUUUCUAUCAUAGGUUUGAGAUAGAGGUGUUGGCAAUUUUGGGGUCUUUCUAGAGGGCAAUGCUUGAAGAUUAAUGCUAGAGAUAUGGUAUCUACAAAUUGCAUAUAUGUUUGAUGUAUUCUUGCAAUUGAAAGUACCUUAUAAUUUGAAAAUUGCUAUUUUGAAACUUGUUGCUUACUUUUCUAUUAAUGUUGAGUCUAUCCUACUAGGUAUUCAAGAAAUAUAGCAAAAAGAAGAAGAUGAUGAAGAAUUAGUGAUCACCUCUUACGAAGAUAGUAUUAUACUUUUCAAUUUAAGUUUAUAUAUUAUCUUAAUUGAAUGUCUGUAAUUAGUUUUUUUUUGUAUAUAGAAAAGAGAGAGUAAG
rnacentral:lncRNA from 1 species